rnacentral:rRNA from 1 species
AAUCUUCCACAAUGGGCGAAAGCCUGAUGGAGCAACGCCGCGUGAGUGAAGAAGGUUUCCGGAUCGUAAAACUCUGUUGUAAGGGAAGAACAAGUACAGUAGUAACUCGCUGUACCUUCACGGUCCCUUAUUAGUAAGCCACGCCUUACUUCGUUCCCUCAGCCGCGGUAAUACGUAGGUGGCAAGCGUUGUCCGGAAUUAUUGGGCGUAAAGCGCGCGCAGGCGGUCCUUUAAGUCUGAUGUGAAAGCCCACGGCUCAACCGUGGAGGGUCAUUGGAAACUGGGGGACUUGAGUGCAGAAGAGGAAAGUGGAAUUCCAAGUGUAGCGGUGAAAUGCGUAGAGAUUUGGAGGAACACCAGUGGCGAAGGCGACUUUCUGGUCUGUAACUGACGCUGAGGCGCGAAAGCGUGGGGAGCAAACA